GAUGAACGCUGGCGGCGUGCUUAACACAUGCAAGUCGAACGGGAUCCAAGGGGUGCUUGCACUUUUUGGUGAGCGUGGCGCACGGGUGAGUAACACGGGAGUAACCUGUCCUUUUCUUUGGGAUAAUCAUUCGAAAGGGGCUUUAAUACCUUAUGAUCUGUCUGCUUCGCAUGGGGUGGGUGGGAAAGGCUUUGGCCGGACUUGGGUGGGCUCGCGGUCUAUCUGCUCGUUGGUGGGGUGAUGGCUUACCACGGCUUUGACGGGUAGCCGGCCUGAGAGGGUGGUGGGUCAGAGAGGGAGUGAGAAACGGCCCAGAAGCCUGCGGGAGGCAGCAGUGGGGGAUAUUGCACAAUGGGAGAGAGCCUGAUGCAGCGACGCAGCGUGGGGGAUGAAGGCCUUCGGGUUGUAAACUGCCUUGGCUAUGAGCAAGGCAUGCCAGUGGGGGUGUGGAGUGUAGGGGUUGAUUAGCGCCGGCUAACUACGUG
rnacentral:rRNA from 1 species